ACCACAGUAUGUGGCACUCUUCAGAUAAAUUGACCUAAUGACAAUUAGGUCAAUUUAUCUGUAGACAAUUAGGUCAAUUAGGUCAAUUUAUCUGAAGAGUGCCACAUACUGUGGUAC